rnacentral:tRNA from 1 species
AGUUUUAUAGUCAAAAAAAUGAUAUUAGACUGCAAUUCUAAAGGUGUAAAAAUUACUAAAACUU